rnacentral:rRNA from 1 species
GACGAACGCUGGCGGCGUGCUUAACACAUGCAAGUCGAACGGAGUGGCGAACGGGUGAGUAACGUGUAAUCAACCUGCCCUUCAGGGGGGGACAACAGUUGGAAACGACUGCUAAUCCCGCAUACUGAAGGAGUGGAUUGCGUCUGAUUAGCUAGCUGGGGGGGUAACGGCCCAACAAGGCGAUGAUCAGUAGCCUGUCUGAGAGGAUGAACGGCCAAAUUGGGACUGAGACACGGCCCAGACUCCCACGGGAGGCAGCAGUGGGGAAUCUUCCGAAAUGGACGGAAGUCUUACGGAGCAACGCCGCCUGAGUGAAGACGGCCUUCGGGUUGUAAAGCUCUGUUAAUCGGGACGCGGUACCGGAAUAGAAAGCCACGGCUAACUACGUGCCAGCAGCCGCGGUAAUAC